AGGCAGAUUUUUUGGCGGGUAGUGGACGGGUAAAACCAGAGGGAGGCAGCAAUGCAACACAAAGGAUGCCAGCUGCCGUAAAACCCCAAAGAAGAAGAAGAAG